rnacentral:lncRNA from 1 species
UUGGGUUAUGUUAUAAGUUCUAAGAAAUUGUUGUCUUUUAUGUUCAUUAUGUUUAGCAAAAAAAUCUUCAUUAAAUAAUUCUUUAUAUUUAGAAUCAUCUUUACUAGAGCGGGAUAAGGAUUUAUUCUUUAAUGGAUUGGAUUGAAUUUUGGAGACUGGUCUAGGACUCAUCUUAGAUUCAGAAUAUGGGAAUGACAGGUAUUGAGGAUAAUAGUUUUGAGGCUGAUUAUCAUCUUCAUUAUCGGAUUGAAAGGACUGAAUAUCAUCUUGAUCAUUAUCUGAAUAGUCUAAAAUAUCUUUUAGAUACAAAUUGGGAUAUGGAUCCACUUUUAAUAGGUAAAGUAACCAAGAGAUUUAGGAAAGACUUAAGAAA